GGGCGAUUAGCUCAGCCGGGAGAGCGCCUGCCUUACAAGCAGGAUGUCGGCGGUUCGAUCCCGUCAUCGCCCACCA
rnacentral:tRNA from 5 species